rnacentral:rRNA from 1 species
GACGAAGGGGGCUAGCGUUGUUCGGAAUUACUGGGCGUAAAGGGCUCGUAGGCGGCCAACUAAGUCGGAUGUGAAAUCCCCAGGCUUAACCUGGGAACUGCAUCCGAUACUGGAUGGCUUGAAUCCGGGAGAGGGAUGCAGAAUUCCAGGUGUAGCGGUGAAAUGCGUAGAUAUCUGGAGGAAUACCGGUGGCGAAGGCGGCAUCCUGGACCGGCAUUGACGCUGAUGAGCGAAAGCUAGGGGAGCAAACGGG